UAUUUGUUUUUUUAAUCUGAUCUUCUAGCAAAAAAAAAAAAAUUGUCAUGCUAUCUUAUUCCAAGAUAUGGCAAAAAAAUGAAUUCUGCAUUAUGUCGGUUAGGGUUAGAAGAUUACCUAUGCUCGGUGUCUGACAAAAGCUAGAAAUGGAAGGGAUCCCUUCUGCUUCAGAUAUAGAUUUUUGUUGAAUUCCCCCGACUCAAGGGCAAGGGUUUGCCUUCUCGCUUUCUUGGAGAAAUCGGCACUUUUGAUGCUUUGGCAGAACUUCGUGAUGAUUUUGGAUUUUUGGGAUUUCAGGGAUUUCUGUAGAGGUUCAACACUUUUUGGGCUUCUCUGGGGGAUUUCUACCUAAAUUCUGAGGUUACUAGGGUUUUUGGAAUUUAACUACUGGGAAUUCUGUAGAACUUUGGGGCUUAUUGGAAUAUUCGGAAAAAUAAAAGAAUUUUAAAAACUAUAUGGGAAUUUCUUUGGAUUUUUCUCCUAUUCUUCCUAUGAAAACUGACACUUAUUUAUAAGGUUUCAGGGUUGGGACAUAGAGGUUAUCUUUUAUUUCCCUAAGGAAGGCCACCCCGUCUAAGGGUUGGGCGGAUUUGCGCAACUUUUAGGUGGGUUACCUCCCCCCCUCUAAAUAAGCAAAUUGGGCUGAUUUUGGUCAGUUUGUUGGUUUCUGAUUUCUAAGGGGGUUGUUAUGGGAAAUCUAGAUGAUGGAUUUUAACGUGUAAUAUAUGAAUGAAAUCAUCUUGAUGAGUACUAUCCAGUAUUGCAGAAAUUGAGCUCAUUCUUGGCUCGGAAGUUCUCGGAAAAUGCGAAACAUGAGAUUUUGUCAUUUUAAUGCAAGGGGAGGGAUCAACAACCAUCUUUUUGGUCAUUCCUACAUUAUUGGCUAAUACUCGGCUUGACACUGUCAAAUAUCGAUUCAUCAUCAAUUCAUCACCAGACAUAAUGGAUUCGGGGUCCAAGGUAGGCCGAAAGGUAUUAGGUUGGAUCAAGUGUCGGUUUGAACUUUGUGAAUACGUGGUGGCUUAUCCAGGCAUCAAAAUUUUGUAUAUAGUAUAUCGACGGAAUUGUUUUUUCGAGUACUAUCCAAUGAUGUGGAAAUCAAACUCAUUCAUGGUUAAUUGUCAUAUUAUGGCAGAGAGAAUUGACGACCAUUUUCUAGGUCAUUAUUGAACGACGCUUGGCUUUGGAUCCUUGACAUUUCUCACGCUAAACCAAACUCCACAAAUCAGCACACGAGGUUUGGUUGGGGGUGUCUAGGGUUUCGCCAAAAACCAGAUCCUCCUCGAGAGUGAAAGUACAAGCUUCAUUCCUCUCCCAUAGAUCAUCGUUGUCAAAGGGGACAAAAUUAGGUGCCUACAAAGGUAUGAGAGAGAAGGGGAGAUCACAUGCGCCACAGGCUUCACACCAUGCGACUCAAAUUUUAAAUUCAUUCUCUGAUCUGCUCAAUGAAUUGGAUUACAAGUAUAUUUAUAAAAAAGUGAAAUUAAAUGGUACCAUUACAUGGAGCUGGAGCUGGAGCUGGAGCUGGAGGCAGAGCUGGUGCGGGAGACUCAGUACACUCAUGCCGCAUAGGAUUUGGACCACGGUGCACGUGUAGCCUACACGAGAGGGUCUCGUCUACGAUUCACACCUGGUGGUAGUGAGGAGCAUUAUAGCAUGGACUCAAUAUACAUCUUGAUUAGGAGCUUGACACUCUCAGAAGCUUGAGUAUGGAGAGUGGUAUUUAUGGGGAGCAAUUGUAUACAUCGUUAGCCUUAUAUAGCAUGGGGAGCAUCGAUUCAUACUAUAGUCAUUAUAAUCAGCUUAGUCAGUUUGUACAUGUGCAACCAUAUGCCACCUCUUUCCCAUUUGCCUUUGAGUGUAAGGGUCAGUCAUACCCCCACAUUGGGUCCGAUUUUGUGGGUAGCGCCUUCAGGAUUCUAGCUCCCAGCCAUACAUAUCUGUGCAAGUUCUGGUGCGACGACACCAUCCAGGCUCGGUGGAUCUCGAUCUAGUUCUUUACGUUUUGUAGAUAUCUAAGGUUAGGGUACCUCCAGUAUGUUGAUGUUUAUAGGGCUGUUGUGGAAAACUCCGAGUAUUACUUCCGGCAUAUUAUGACAUGGCCAACAUUCAAUUAGAGCAAAACAUGCUUCAACAUUAGCAACAAUAUGGUGGUUAUGAUGAUAUGGCCCAACACUUAAAAGAGUUUAGGUCUCUAGGAUGAGUUUGAUAUAUGUACUUAUGUACUUGUGUUGUUAUGUGACUUAUGUCAUUCCAAUGUAUGUGAUGUGACUCAUCCGUCAUCCAUGUUAAAUAAUUAAGUAAUGUUGUAAAUGGGUACAAGGGUAGAAUAGUCCAUUAGGGGUAUUUUAGUUUUGUCAUUAUAUCUGGAAUAUUCUCUUCCAUAUUAGAAAUAGAGAUGGCCUGUGUCCAUUAGAAAAAAGUCAUUAUCCCAUUCAACAUUAUAUCAGAGCCUUAGAUCCAAAUCCUAAGGUUUCCCAUCUCUUUGUUUCGCCUCUCGAUUUUGGUGGUCAGUGCCUCCCACCUACGCCUCCCUCCAUCCUUCCUUUCUCGGUACUAGUUUCUUAAACAAGCAUAGGAGGUCUCUAGCCCCUUCCAUCUUCUUUCCUGAUAUCUUAGACUCUCCUCUUUAAUGAUCUGAGAGACCUAAUUCACCUUUUUUUUUUUUUUUUUUUUUAUCACUUUUCAAGGUUUUUACCCUGGUUGACUUUUUGAUAUCAGGGUUUUUCUUCCUUGUUUGAUUCAUUGAUCGACUUGAAGAUGGUUCUGAUUGAUGCUAUUGAUCCUAGUUGUGGUAUAUAUUAGCCAUGUUACUAUCUCAGGGCUUGAUUAUAGAGCUUUACCAACCCUUUAUAGAUUUUUGGUUUUUAGGGUUUUUUCCUACUUUUUGGUGCCUCUUCUACCUAUAGUUGGUGUAUCAGCUUGUUCCAACCAUCUCUACAGCCUCUUUAAGUGGUAACCAUGUCUGGACCUGCGAGCUCAACCGCGUCCACUGGUGGUGACUACUCCGGCACCCUUCCCACAUUCCCUCCAUGUGCUAUCAAGCUUGAUGGUAUUAUCUUAUAUGGUCACGCUCAUGGUUUAUCUCCAUCAAAUCUUGUGGUUAUUAUGGUUAUCUUACUAGAACCACAAAGCAACCUACCAUAGGUACUGAUAUUAAUAAAUUGGAGUGCAAAUUCUCUUGUUUUGGCUUUUCUUGUCAACUCUAUGCAGCCACAAAUUACUCAUGCUAUCUCCUUAACUCCGCUACGAAGUUAUGGAAGUGUGUACAAAACAUUGACUCCCAUAUUGGGAAUGAUGCUCAAGUAUUCGAACUUCGCCAUAAGGUUCAUGAUUUGAAGCAAAAGGGGCUAACUCUAUCAUAGUUUAUUACGAGUUGCAAACUCUGUGGUAUGAGCUGGACUUCUAUGAGGAGUAUGUUUUCACCACUCAUGCUGAUGUCAUUACCUACUAGAAACCGGAAGAAAAGAUCAACGUCUAUGAUUCUUGGUAGGGCUGGAUUUGGAAUACGACUAACUGCGGGCUCAUGUUCAGAGUCGUUCUUUCUUUCUUAUUUUGGAGCAAGCCUAAGGUAUGAUACAACUUGAGGACAGUUGUCGUACUACUAUGCUCCCAUAGCCUACUGCUGCUCCCAUAGAGAGAUUUGUUCUUACCUUAAGCACCCUGUCCUACAGUAUAGCCUCAUAGUCUAGUGGCUCCUCUACCAUAGCACCUGUAAAGUGCGACUACUGUAGUAAGGAGUGUCAUACCAAGGAGCACUAUUGGAAGCUUUAUGGCCACCCUGCUGAUACAUCUGAUAAAGGUUGUGGAAAGGGUCGUGGUAAUUUCGGUCAGGUCAACCAUACUAAAGCCUCUGACUCUAACUCUGCACUAAGCAUCUUCUCAGCAUCUUUAUCCUCUGAUGAGCUUAUUGCCUUUCAGCAUCUUCUGACUCGUAUGGAGCCUCAUGCAUAUGCAAUGACAAGUUUUGCUCACUCCACACCAUUCGUUCAGGUACCUAUUUUAUGGUCAUAGUACGUGUGUCCAGUCUACCAUGUGGAUUAUUGACUCCGGGGUAUUAGAUCAUAUGAUAGGUUCUUUUGCUUUUUUCUCUUAGUAUACUUUCUGUUCUGGUAAUAGUAAGGUCAAAUGGGCUAAUGGGACUUCUUCCACAAUUUUGGGAAAGGGCUUUGUUAGCUAUAAUUCUACUUAUAACUCUUUCAACUGGUUUGCAUGUUCCAUCCUUUACUACUAAUUUAUCGUGCAUUAGUUGUCUCACUUCCGGUCUUAAUUGCAAAGACAAUUUUUUUCCUUCUCAUUGUAUUUUCAGGAUCUAGUGGCAGAGGGAAACGAUUGGCUCUAGUAGGGUGUGCAGUGGUUUGUAUCUGCCUGAUGAUGACUCUUCUUCGGUCUCUGGUCAGGCUCUUCAGACAUAUUUUUUAUCACCUCCCAUCUGUGAGUUACUACAGGGCUCUACUGCUUUUCCUAUCACUCUCCAAGUGUUUGGCUACGUCUGUUAUGCUCGUGGUCUUCAUCCUCACGGUAUCUAGUGCAUUUUUCUAGGGUAUUUUGCCACUCAGAAGGCAAUCGGUGUGAUCAUCCUACCACUUGGCAUUGGUGGUUUGUGACUAUAGAUGUUGUCUUUCAUGAAUCUGUGUUCGGGGGAGUCUUCUUCCACAGUGGAAGAUGUGCCGCCUCUUGAACGUAGUACACUGUUAUCUGUUUUCCUUGCCGAUGUUCCAUUUUAAGGGGAGAAUGCAUGAUCCUUACUCAUCACACGUGGCAUCAUUUGGGUCGGGGCCUUCAUAGAUGUUGAUUGGGCAGGUUCACUUGAUGAUCGUAGGUCUACCAUUGGUUAUGGCACCUGUGUUGGUGGUAACCUUAUUACUUGGUGAAGCAAGAAGCAAGUGGUUGUUGCCUGGUCUAGUGCUGAAGCUGAGUUCCGUGCUAUGGCCCGUGGCGCUAGUGAGUUUUUAUGAGCUUCAUGAUCUUCUCACAGAUUUGGCUCUCCUUGCUACUACUCCUAUGAAGCUAUGUUGUGAUAGUAAAUCUGCCAUUAGCAUUACUCACAACCCAGUCUAGGAUGAUUGAACCAAAUAUGUGGAGAUUGAUCGGCACUUCAUCAAAGAGAAGCUUGAUAUGAGUCUUAUCACUGUGCAUUUCGUUCCCAGCAUUGAACUACUGGCUAAUGUAUUUACUAAGGGUCUUAGUGGUAAGAUGUUUCUUCCUAUUAUCUGCAAGUUGGGCGUAUGUGAUAUCUAUGCACCAAUUUGAGGGGGAUUAUUGUCAAUGGGUACAAGAGUAGAAUUGUCUGUUAGGGGUGUUUUAGUCUUGCACUCAUAUCUUAAUUGUUCUCUUCCAUAUUAUAAAUAGAGCCGGGCUAUGUGCAUUAGACAUGAGUCAUUAGCCUAUUCAACUAAUAAUUAUCUAAAAUAUCUUUUAAUUCCUUGUGAUUAUUUAUGCAUUUUAAAUUGAUUAUGUGUUCUAACUUCUAAAAGUAUUAGAUGUCGUGUGGAUUGUGGAAUAAUAGCCUAGGGUACGAAGACUAAUUACAAAGGGUACGAAGUCAAAGUACCAUUUUGGGUUUAUUUUUAAAAAACUAAGGCUUCUGCUUUAUUUAGAAGGCCUAAAAUAGGGUAAAUGACAAGCUUAAGGGGCUAGAAAGCCCAUAUGGCCACUAAGACCAACCACCGAGAUCUCGUACCCAACGAAACCUUGGGCGAGAUCACUGAGGAGGUGGGGAACCCAAACCAAAUGGCUUCAGUAAGAAGUUCCUAUCUGGCAUAAUGCUUUCAAAUCCAUAGUUAGUCUUGCAUCAAAAUUCUAAUGUUAGAAGGAAAAUUUUUAACAAUGAAAAUUAUGGCCUUCUAAACAUUAAUGAACAUAAAUUCCACUUCUUUGCUAUGUCUUAAAAGGCAAAGUUGUGAGGUGAGGUUAGGACCUCUAAAAAUGUUUGCAAAGCAGAUGGAAAAGUUCAUAGCUGGUUCUGAGCUUUCUGACCAACAACACCUAUUACGUAUCAAUAUUAAUAGAGCUUUAUAAGUUGUUUAGAAACCUAUUUCGACUUUUUCCCAGGGAGUUGAAAUUUCAAGCUGUUAAACAUAAUAAAUAAAUUCUUAAUUUAAACACGUUCAUAAUAUUAUAUUUUAAGUUGUAGUUAUCUGAGUUUUAUUUUGAGUUGUGUGGCCUCAGAAAAUUAGGUGGCUCUAAAUUUGUGUUGGGCGACACAAUUCCAACAACUCUCAUGGCUGAGUCAGCUGAAUUGCAACUCAAGUGAACUGCAUGGCCAGAAGCUUGUGGUAGGACAGAUUUUAUCAUCUAAAGUUGCGCUCAAGUUUUAAUAUUCAGCUGUCUUUUAGGAGAUGAAUCUUGCUUUAAUAGCCUGCCAAAUAGUAGUGAUUGAUCUAUUUUUAUUCCCAUGCUAAGCUUCAUCUGACAAGCAAGAUACUUUAAGAUCCUUGUAAGUCCCACCACCAUAUUUUUUAAGCCAAUUGGAAGCCUAAAAAUUAAGUGGGAAAACAGAACCUGAUCAAUUCUACUUGGGCUGGUUACCUAGCUCACACCUUGACUUCAAUGAUAAACAAAGUUUUGAAAAGAAGAAAUUCCAUUGAAGUAGUUAUUUUACUCCUUAGAUCAGCCGAGUCAAAAGUGGCAAACUUAAAAAUAGAAGUUCCACUUGUAGUGGAGGUUAUGCUUUCUUAAAUACUAUCCAUUUCUGGAGAUUCUGUGCAGUUCGUUUCUCCUAUCAAGUCUCUUACCUUGCAAUGAAGCUUCAUAGCAUGAAGAGGCAUGGAUUGUUUAAUCAUAUUAUUAUAAAAGUAAACUAUCGUGUUUUCGCUUUUUCUCUCUCCACUUGUAAGGGAGCAGGAAUUGAAACUUAGACCUAGUUUGUAAAUAAUUUAAUUAGAGACCAUAACCCUGAAGAGCUGAUGGGAUGAUGGUUAGAAGACAGUAUCCAAAACAACUUGCACUUUCUGAGAAUUUGGGGUUCAGGAUAUCUGCUGUCAAUGAUUGGAACAGUGGGGUUACUUGGAAAGGGGAAAUGAACUCUGUGUUUGACAAGACAUGCAUGAUUCCGUUUUCUUUUGAUUCUUUAUGAGAAAGGAGUAUUUCUGUUGCAAUGAUAAAUUUAACUUUUCCAUAACAGCCAACCAGAAAACCUCUUGUGAAAUCCAAGAGGAUCAGAAUCAUCUGCAGAUUCAUAGGUAUAUGAUAUUUGAUAACCUUGAGUAUCGCUUAUCAUCAUCGCAACCACUUAGAUCAUUUUGCACUUAAAUUCAAUUUUUCCAUCAUCCUUGUGCAGUGAACAUACUUCAGCUUGAUGUUGUUCUGUUUUAGCAGCUGCUGCAUGAGAAUGGAGAGUUGAUCCUGUGCUGAACCCAGAACUGCCUGGAGACUCGUAUAAAUCGUUAGACUCCUUGAUGGUUGACUUUCCAUAUUACCGUGGGCUAAAUGCUCUGCCAAGUCUCUAUAAUCAUCAAGUAGAAAAUAUAUUUCAGAGAUUCUGUAGUUUAGCAGAUUGUAAUUUUUGUUUCGGUUUAAGAAAUCUUGCAGUCACUGAAAAUUAAAAGAUGAUAUUAGGGAACUUCCAAAUUAUGUUUCCAUCUUCUUGAUGUUUUUUA